rnacentral:rRNA from 1 species
UACGGAGGAUGCGAGCGUUAUCCGGAUUUAUUGGGUUUAAAGGGUGCGUAGGCGGAUCGUUAAGUCAGUGGUCAAAUUGAGGGGCUCAACCCCUUCCCGCCAUUGAAACUGGCGAUCUUGAGUGGAAGAGAAGUAUGCGGAAUGCGUGGUGUAGCGGUGAAAUGCAUAGAUAUCACGCAGAACCCCGAUUGCGAAGGCAGCCUUCCGGCGCCCUACUGACGCUGAGGCUCGAAAGCAUGGGUAGCGAACAGG